GUGGUUGCAUUGGACUAUCUUAAAAAUUACAUAUAUGUUGAAGCCGAUAAAGAAGCCCAUGUGAAGGAGGCUUGUAAGGGUUUGCGCACGAUAUAUAGUUCAGCCAAGGUCAUGCUAGUUCCUAUCAAAGAAAUGACGGAUGUUCUUUCUGUUAAAAGCAAAACUAUUGAGAUUUCCAGGGACACAUGGGUUAGGAUGAAACUUGGAAUUUAUAAAGGAGACCUUGCCAAGGUUGUUGAUGUAGACGAUGUGCGACAAAAGGUGACAGUGAAGCUAAUUCCAAGAAUUGACUUACAGCAUCUUGCUAAUAAGUUGGUAA